ACUAAAAACGGGGAAAAUCCGUCGAAUUUCAAAUUCGUGAGGGUUCAAGUCCCUCUAUCCCCA
rnacentral:tRNA from 1 species